GCUGGAGAAAUGGCUCAGCGGGUUAAGAGCACUGACUGCUCUUUCAGAGAUCCUGAGUUCAAUUCCCAGCAAGCA
rnacentral:tRNA from 1 species